rnacentral:sRNA from 1 species
UCUUGUACAAGUAUUCGGCUCACUCAAGGGCGGUCUGGCUCAUUCCCCUAAAGGGGGUGAGGCUUAUGACAACAUUUGAAGGUCUAUCUCUCAUGAUAGCUUUUGGCGUAUUCAUUAUCGCCCUGUUGUCUUAUAUAGACAAAAAAUAGACCCCCUUGAGCCUUGGACAGUUUAAGGGUGGUCUAUUCGCAAAGAAUUCCUAUUUGAGUCAGCGCCAGGGUGUUGGUGACACAACUCCCUGG